GUGCUCACUUCGGUAGCACAUAUACUAAAAUUGGAAUAAUACAGAGAAGAUGAGCAUGGCCCUCGUGUAAGUAUGACAGGCGAGUUCAUGAAGCAUUCCAAAUUUUU
ensembl:snRNA U6 U6 spliceosomal RNA